UUUGUUUUGACGCGUAGUAAAGCCCCCCAUACCUCAUGGCCUUAAGGGAAAAUUAGUAAAUCUACACAAAUCUACUUCUUCCCCAACCCCAAAUUAGAGGUAUCACGUUCAAAAGAUCGCAUCUCUCCCUCUCUCAACCUGCCGCCGUUGUUGCUUAGCCAUCAUUCACGCCGGUCGUUGCUACUCACAUCAUUCUGAUUUGUCAAUCGCCGAUCACAUUCCUCAUUCCUCAGAUCACUUACGCCUCCUCUCACUCUCAUUUGCUUUGCCGUUCGAUUUCUGCUCCGUCAACUAGUAGAUUUUUCUCGAUCGUCAACUAGUAACAUUCUUCUCUCUUCUUUUUGCUCCAUUUUCUCUUUAGCAUCCAAUGACUUGAAGGAUAUUGAUCUCUAUCGUCAACUGGCUGAUGAUAUACUUGGGAAUCCAUCAAUUUAUGAAAAGGGAAGUGUGUAUUACUACUCUGAACGAGGGGAUCGAUUGAUUGACCUAAAUGCAUUUCGUGACACCCUUUGGCAGAAGUGUAAUUUUGAGAAUCCACAUCUGAGUACUUUUGGGAGUGAAGCUAAAGUUGAAGAAGUAAGAAAUAUUGUUCAACAGCUUCUCAGAUGGGCAUGGAAACACAACAAGAACCUUGAAGAACAAGCUGCUCAACUCCAUAUGUUAACUGGAUGGGCACAAAUUGUUGAGAUUUCACCUUCAAGAAAGUUAUCCUCAAUGGAAAAUCGAUAAGAAAUAUUAUUUUAGUGCGUUUUUUUUCUCUUUCUUUCUCUCUCUCUCUCUCUCUCUACCCCUGAAAUAUGGCAGGAAUGUUAACUCAGGUUUCAAUUACAUGCAUGGCUAAACUACGGGAUGAGAGGUUUAUUAACCCAAGUGUGUUGAACUCGGAUACUGUAACAUGUCAUGAUGUUAUUAUGACAAGGUGAAUUUAAAUGGUGCAUGUCACUCUAUCCUCUAUUAGAUUAUGAUGGCAAUUCUCAAACAUGACACAUCAGAAGCAUUGAGGAGAAGGCACUACACUUUGCAUUUAAGCUACUUCCAAUAUUGUCAACACAUACUGGAUCCAGAUGUUGAUACUACUGUUCUUCAAUCUUUGUUAGUGGAAGAACAAGAAAGUGGAGAUUUGGAUCUUGAAAAGGAGACAACUUUCUAAAUCUAUGAUUUCUUCAGAUUCUAAUUCCUUUAAAAUACUAACUCUUACUUUUGGGUUCAGAUUGACCAGGAUCAGGCUGAGCUGGCACGUGCAAACUUAUCUAUCCUAAGAAAAGAAGCUCAAUCAAUUCUAGAUUUGGCCAUAAAAGAUGCAACUCAAGGCAGUGAGUCAGGAAAAAUAAUGGCUUUCUUUGUUCUGGAUGCAUUAAUAUGCAUUGAUCAAGCAAAGUUUGAACAACAACUUGCACAAGCAAUGAAUGUCAUUAACACAUUGAGUGAACAAGUCAAAACUUUUAUUAAUCAAUGAUAGAAUAUUAUGUAUCGAAUAAUGUUUUACGUUAAAUUUGUAGCGACUUCUGAUUUUGAAAUAUGUAUCUUUUGAUGUAUUGGAUAUUUCAUUUUAGUUUCUAUAGAAAUACUUUGUUAUUUUUGGUUUUA